rnacentral:tRNA from 1 species
GGGGCGGUGGUGCAAGGAGCACGGCGUAGUCGGUCUCCGAGGUUGCGCAGAUGCAGGUUCGAAUCCUGCCCGUUCCACCA